UCCUGGCGUCAGGAUGAACGCUGGCGGCAUGCCUAAUACAUGCAAGUCGAACGGAUAUCUUCGGAUAUGAGUGGCGAACGGGUGAGUAACACGUAGGGAACCUGCCUGCAUGAGCGGGAGAACUUCUGGAAACGGAAGCUGAUACCGGAUGAGCAAAGAGGAGGCAUCUCUUUUUGGAAAAGGGGACAAGAGUCCCGCAUGCAGAUGGACCUGCGGUGCAUUAGCUGGUUGGAGAGGUAACGGCUCACCAAGGCGACGAUGCAUAGCCGGCCUGAGAGGGCGGACGGCCACACUGGGACUGAGACACGGCCCAGACUCCUGCGGGAGGCAGCAGUAGGGAAUUUUCGUCAAUGGGGGGAACCCUGAACGAGCAAUGCCGCGUGAGCGAGGAAGGUCUUCGGAUCGUAAAGCUCUGUUGCCGGGGACAAAAGGCAGAAAGAGUGGAAAGCUUUCUGAGUGAUGGUACCCGGCGGGGAAGUCACGGCUAACUACGUG
rnacentral:rRNA from 1 species